CAAAAAGGGCGGAAGAGGUGGUAUUUCAUCUCAUCGACAUAUUCUGCCUGUUUGGGGCUCCAAACAUCUUGCAGAGCGACAACGGACGCGAGUUUCGCAACAAAGUAAUAAAGCAGUGCACAGCCAUGUGGCCAUCGCUCCAGCUCGUUCGUGGACGACCUCGCCAUUCGCAGUCCCAGGGAUCUGUCGAAAGGGCGAAUCGGCUGGUUCAGGAAAAGCUUCGGUGCUGGCUUGCCGAUAACCCGGAA